ACACACCAGAAUUAGCUUUGCAUUGCAAAAGAAACUGUUCCAGCUCUGGCCAGGAUCCCAGGCUGAAGACUGCAGAACAUUUUCUCUUCAGCAGGAAGGAGCUUGCAUCCUCAGCAAGAACAAGUGUGAAAUACAAAUCACUGAGCACCUGCUGCUCGUUGUCCAAGUCAUCACACAGCGCCCCUGAGUAGCUGCAGUGAAAGGAAGAAUGACAGGGACUUAAUUUCCAUAUGGCCCUUCAGAAACGUCAGCAGUUUUGAUCCACUAGGUUGAAACCUGAGCUCCUGAAAGAAUUGUGCACAUUCACUUUGGAUGAGACAUCCCAUGAACACCCUGGGGGAUGGGGAUCAGGAGACAAGGCGGUUCUGCUCCAUCAGCUUGUUUGCAAAGAUAGGAGCUGAGCUCACAGAUCUUCUUUCAGAGCCUUCCUCGGGGUCACUUCUCCUUCAGCCCAGAGGAUGGAAGAAGGUUUCUUGGCGCUCGUCAGACCUGGAGACCUCAUCUGCAACGUGAAAAGGGGCAGGGAGGAGCCGGAGUGGGGAACGAGGGAAGGAGCCAAAUCCCAGCCCGGCAACACGAGGCUGCUGCCAUCUCGUGGCUGGCCCUGGCCGAGCAAAGCUGGCCGGCGACAGUUUUGGUUUUUGAGAUAAGAUCCUUCCUGCAGGCCAGCACCUCCCUGUGCCCUAUGAGCUGAGGAGAGAGGAGAGAUCCCUGUUGCUGUUGAGAGGCUCCGGAUCUGCUGUGCCCAUGCAGCACGUGUGGCCUUCACAAUGGUCUGAUGCUAGGAAGGGAGAUGAUCCACAGUGAAACAGAGACAUUUUGGGAUCAGAUGGGAUGGGCGUGGUCUCCAGACCUGUUUCUUCUGGCAUCUUUCAUUGAACUGUGGUGCUGAUGCAGGGGUUUAUUCUGUGAAUAAAAUAAAAAUUAUUAUCUGAA